AGACCGAUAGCGAACAAGUAGAGUGAUCGAAAGAUGAAAAGCACUUUGAAAAGAGAGUUAAACAGCACGUGAAAUUGUUGAAAGGGAAGCGCUUGCGACCAGACUCGCCCGCGGGGGUUCAGCCGGUACUCGUACCGGUGUACUCCCCCGGGGGCGGGCCAGCGUCGGUUUGGGCGGCCGGUCAAAGGCCCCCGGAAUGUGUCGCCUCUCGGGGCGUCUUAUAGCCGGGGGUGCAAUGCGGCCAGCCUGGACCGAGGAACGCGCUUCGGCACGGACGCUGGCGUAAUGGUCGUAAGCGGCCCGUCUUGAAACACGGACCAAG
rnacentral:rRNA from 2 species